rnacentral:misc_RNA from 1 species
AAAUGCGAUAAGUAAUGUGAAUUGCAGAAUUCAGUGAAUCAUCGAAUCUUUGAACGCACAUUGCGCCCGCCAGUAUUCUGGCGGGCAUGCCUGUUCGAGCGUCAUUUCUACCAUCAAGCCCCCGGCUUGUGUUGGGGACCUGCGGCUGCCCGCAGGCCCUGAAAAACAGUGGCGGGCUCGCUGUCACACCGAGCGUAGUAGCAUACAUUCUCGCUCAGGGCGUGCUGCGGGUUCCGGCCGUUAAACGACCUUCAUAACCCAAGGUUGACCUCGGAUCAGGUAGGAAGACCCGCUGAACUUAAGC